AAACUCAAAGGAAUUGACGGGGACCCGCACAAGUGGUGAGCAUGUGGUUUAAUUCGAUGAUACGCGAGGAACCUUACCUAGGCUAGAAUGCGCGUGACCGGCUCAGAGAUGGAGCCUUUCCUUCGGGACACAAAGCAAGGUGCUGCAUGGCCGUCGUCAGCUCGUGCCGUGAGGUGUUGGGUUAAGUCCCGCAACGAGCGCAACCCCUAUGUUUAGUUGCCAGCAUGUAAUGAUGGGGACUCUAGACAGACUGCCUGCGCAAGCAGUGAGGAAGGCGGGGACGACGUCAGGUCAUCAUGGCCCUUACGCCUAGGGCGACACACGUGCUACAAUGGACGGUACAGCGGGUAGCUACUGGGCGACCAGAUGCCAAUCUCGAAAAGCCGUUCUCAGUUCGGAUUGGAGUCUGCAACUCGACUCCAUGAAGCUGGAAUCACUAGUAAUCGCGCAUCAGCCAUGGCGCGGUGAAUACGUUCCCGGGCCUUGUACACACCGCCCGUCAAGCCAUGAAAGUCUGGUAGACCUGAAGCUGGUGCUCCGCAACGAAGCCAGUUAGGGUAGAACAGGUAAUUAGGGCUAAGUCGUAACAAGGUAGCCGUACCGGAAGGUGCGGCUGGAUCACCUCCUUA
rnacentral:rRNA from 1 species